rnacentral:rRNA from 1 species
AUUGAACGCUGGCGGCACGCCUAACACAUGCAAGCUGAGCGGCAGCGAGACUAGUAGCAAUACUAGUUGUCGGCGAGCGGCGGACGGGUGCGUGACACGUAGGAAUCUGCCCUUAAGCGGGGGAUAACCAAGGGAAACUUUGGCUAAUACCGCAUAAUCUCGAGAGAGCAAAGCUGCACGCAAGGGUGGCACUUGAGGAGGAGCCUGCGUCCGAUUAGCUAGUUGGUGGGGUAAUGGCCUACCAAGGCGAUGAUCGGUAACUGGUCUGAGAGGACGACCAGUCACACUGGGACUGAGACACGGCCCAGACUCCUACGGGAGGCAGCAGUGGGGAAUAUUGGACAAUGGGGGCAACCCUGAUCCAGCGAUGCCGCGUGAGUGAAGAAGGCCUUCGGGUCGUAAAGCUCUUUAGGUUGGGAAGAAGGGUAUUGGCUGAAUAAUCCAGUACUUUGACGGUACCGACAGAAUAAGCACCGGCAAACUCUGUGCCAGCCGCCGCUGUAAGAC